rnacentral:rRNA from 1 species
AUUGAACGCUGGCGGCAUGCUUUACACAUGCAAGUCGAACGGUAACAGGCCUUCGGGUGCUGACGAGUGGCGAACGGGGGAGUAAUGCAUCGGAACGUACCCAGAGGGGGGGGGUAACGCAGCGAAAGCUGUGCUAAUACCGCAUGUGAUCUGAGGAUGAAAGCGGGGGACCGAGCAGCAAUGUUUGGCCUCGCGCGUUUGGACCGGCCGAUGUCGGAUUAGCUAGUUGGGGGGGUAAAGGCCUACCAAGGCGACGAUCCGUAGCCGAUCUGAGAGGACGACCAGCCGCACUGGGGCUGAGACACAGACCAGGCGCCUACGGGCAGCAUCAGUGUGGAAUUUUGGACAAUGGGCGUAAGCAUGCUCCAGCCCAGCCGCGUGCAGGGAGCAGGCCUCCGGGUUGUAAACAGCAUUUGGCAGGAAAGAAACGGUGUCCGCUGAUACCGUGCGCUAAUGACGGUACCUGAAGAAUAAGCACCGGCUAACAACGUG